rnacentral:rRNA from 1 species
AGUGAACGCUGGCGGUAGGCCUAACACAUGCAAGUCGAACGGCAGCACAGUAAGAUCUUGCUCUUACGAGUGGCUAGUGGCGGACGGGUGAGGAAUACAUCGGAAUCUACUUUUUCGUGGGGGAUAACGUAGGGAAACUUACGCUAAUACCGCAUACGACCUACGGGUGAAAGCAGGGGAUCUUCGGACCUUGCGCGAUUGAAUGAGCCGAUGUCGGAUUAGCUAGUUGGCGGGGUAAAGGCCCACCAAGGCGACGAUCCGUAGCUGGUCUGCGAGGAUGAUCAGCCACACUGGAACUGAGACACGGUCCAGACUCCUACGGGAGGCAGCAGUGGGGAAUAUUGGACAAAGGGCGCAAGCCUGCUCCAGCCAUACCGCUUGGGUGAAGAAGGCCUUCGGGUUGUAAAGCCUUUUUGUUGGGAAAGAAAAGCGGCAGGUUAAUACCCCGCUGUUCUGACGGUACCCAAAGAAUAAGCACCGGCUAACUUCGUG